rnacentral:rRNA from 1 species
UACGUAGGGUGCAAGCGUUGUCCGGAAUUAUUGGGCGUAAAGAGCUCGUAGGCGGUUUGUCGCGUCGAAUGUGAAAUCUCAGGGCUCAACUCUGACAUUGCAUUCGAUACGGGCAGGCUAGAGUUCGGUAGGGGAGACUGGAAUUCCUGGUGUAGCGGUGAAAUGCGCAGAUAUCAGGAGGAACACCGGUGGCGAAGGCGGGUCUCUGGGCCGAUACUGACGUGAGGAGCGAAAGCGUGGGGAGCGAACAGG